rnacentral:rRNA from 1 species
CCUACGGGCGGCAGCAGUGGGGAAUAUUGGACAAUGGGGGCAACCCUGAUCCAGCCAUGCCGCGUGUGUGAAGAAGGCCCUCGGGUUGUAAAGCACUUUCAGUGAGGAAGAACGCCUGGUGGUUAAUACCCAUCAGGAAAGACAUCACUCACAGAAGAAGCACCGGCUAACUCCGUGCCAGCAGCCGCGGUAAUACGGAGGGUGCGAGCGUUAAUCGGAAUUACUGGGCGUAAAGCGCGCGUAGGUGGCUUGAUAAGCCGGUUGUGAAAGCCCCGGGCUCAACCUGGGAACGGCAUCCGGAACUGUCAAGCUAGAGUGCAGGAGAGGGAGGUAGAAUUCCCGGUGUAGCGGUGAAAUGCGUAGAGAUCGGGAGGAAUACCAGUGGCGAAGGCGGCCUUCUGGACUGACACUGACACUGAGGUGCGAAAGCGUGGGUAGCAAACAGGAUUAGAUACCCGAGUAGUC